rnacentral:lncRNA from 1 species
UGCAUUAACUAAGUUAAGUACAUUUGCAUGUACUUGUCACAAGGCAAGAGUUAAUUGUAAACCGAACGCAAAUGUCAAAAAAUGAAAAUAUGUAAAAAAUUAAUGGUUGAAAUUAGAAAUUAGAAAAUAUUGCAAAACCAACAAUCAAGUUUACUUUUACGUAAGCAGUUUUUUUCUCAAUAAAUUAUAGCACACUUAACUUAUAUUUCAAAGCCCGUUAGGAUUUAAUUUCUAACUAUUUAUGUCAAAAUUAUAUAUGUACAGAGCAAGCAUCAAAUAAAAUACAUAAAUUUCUUCAAACAACAGCAAUAUAACCGUAAAUAUGUAAAUACGCGUAUAAAAGGCAGUUAAAAGAAAUCAAAUUUACGCAAAUUACAAAUUAAUUAAGCAAAUCGUACAACUGAUUACAAAAUACUUUAGUCUAAGUUACAGUGCCGUAGACAUACUCCAAGGCAAUGGCAGGAAGAAACAGUAAAUCAACAAAAUGUAACUAAAAAAAUUAGAGAAGUUUAAACCUAAAUAAGGAAUGAGCAAAAUGUUGCGCAGAGAGCAGCCGAAUUUUUUUCAACGCAACAAUAAGCAUUCAAAAUAAUUUUUCACUUCUACUAAUCCGUUUAUAAAAGAAACUACUAUAUCUCUUAGAUGCAUAUAAAGGAAAGCUGAGUAAGAUUGAGUAAGAUGCUUCAAAGUUCCACGCCUAACCCUUCAUAAAUAAACUGAUAAAUACAAAGAUCUAAACAAAAAAUCAUUUCAUGCAAGGUAUAUAAGAAAGGAAUCCUUGAACAGAACACGUUACAUUAAAAAAAUUAAAUCAAGGAAAAAUGUAAACUUCAACUGUACCGAAGCUGUAAUACCCUUCACAGCUGCAUAGCAUAAAAGCAUACAAAAAGAUCUUAUCUUGAUUUUCAUCGAUCAGUUUGUAUGGCAGCUAUAAGUUAUAAGGGUCCGAUCCGAAAAAAUAUCUGUGGAGAUUAUAGCAUUGCCUUGGAUAAUAAUUCUUGCGCAAUUUCGCGAACAUAUCUUGAAAAAUAAAAAAAGUUUUCCAUACAAAAACUUUAUAUGAAUCGGGCAGUUUAUAUGGCAGCUAUAAUCUAUAGUGGACUGAUAUCGGCAGUUCCGACAAAUGAGCAACUCUUCGGGCUAAAAAGAACGUGUUCAAAAUUUCAGAUCGUUAACUCAAAAACUGAGCGACUAUGACUACUUCACUUAUAUACAAACAGACGGACAUAGCCAAGUCGGAUACUCCGCCGACGCCCUCCGGGUGUUAUGCGCAGAUAAAGAGAUAGAUCUCUUACCAGAAGUUUGAAUGCAACAAGUGCUCAGA